ensembl:lncRNA
UGAAAUUGUUCCAAGUUACUCAACUUGUGUCCUAAAUAACUAAACUUUUGGAAAAUGACUGAAAAUUUGUCUAUAAAUGAUCAAAAAUGACUCGAAACUUGUGCAGAAUUGUUUAAAAUGAUUCAAAAUUUCUGCAAAAUCUAUUGAAAAAAGUGCAAAACGCUUCAUAAAUUUUAGAAAAUUCCUUGAAAUGUGGCCUAGAGUGACUGAAUGUUGAUAGAACUCCUCUUCAGACAUCAGAGAUGAAGUCCAGCACUUUGGUGAAUCUGCUCGUCAGACUCUGAGCACAAAGACCAGGAGCAGCUCUCUGAGGACUCCGUGGACCGGACCAUGUGGUGCUACCUGGGGGUCUGGAAGAGUCCAUCCUGGGACGGUAGGGGGGCGUUCCUUCCUUCUUCUUCUCCCCGUUUCAGAACCAAAAGCUGCUUCGUCACCAUGGAAACGACGAGGACAGCGGAGGAAAUGCGCAGAAAUCGUUUGGUAGUUCCCGAUGUUACUCUUGUUCUCCUAACUGUGUGAUAAAUGCAAUACAACCGUGGUGUAACCGGGUGGACGUGAUCCGCAGCACGGCGACGUUCCCAGCCGCUCCGGUUCCACGGCCGGUUCCUUCCUCCAGAACCCCCGGCGUCAUAUCAGCCGCAGCGAAGCCUCAUAUCUGGAGAAAGUUGCCUUUUUCAGGAGCGGAGGGGAGCAGCGGCCGCACAUCUCCCUCCCUGCCGCCGCCGUCGAUUCUCCGUUUAACACGCCGACCGCAAACGCACCGCGCCGGGAAACGGGAAUCGCUGAGUCGAAGGUGAAGGGUUCUCCAGAAGUUCUUCAUUCACGCGUGGACCUACAGAGAGAGGAAUAGAAGGUUCCACAUGUCCAGUCGUCCAAAAGGACUCAGAAAACCUGUCUGAUAAAGAUUGAAACCUGAAACGAUCAAAGUGACUCGAAAUCUGUCCAAAAUUAUUCAAAUUUUGUCCACAAUUAUUACAAAUCUGUCCAAAAUUAUUCAAUAAACUCUUCAAAAUUAUCUAAAAUUUCUCAUAAAGAUCUAAAAUCUGUCCAAAAUUAUCAAAAAAAAUUACAAAAAUACCCAAAACUUCCACAGAAUUAUCCAAAAUCUGUCCAAAAUUAUUCAAAAUCGGUUCAAAAUAACCAUUUUUUUCCAAAAUGUGUUCAAAAUUACUCAAAAAUUUUCCCAAAUUAUUCUAAAUUUGUCCAAAAUUUGUUCCAAAUUAUCCAAAAUCUGUCCAGAAUGACCCGUAAUAAUGUGAAAACUGUGGAGGACAUCUCCAGGAACAGUCCAGAAAGACGUUCUAACCUGAGGACAGAAGCUGUGGUGGAACCUUCUUCUUCUUCUUCUUCUUCUUCUUCUUCUUCUUCUUCUUCUUCUUCUUCUUCUUCUUCUUCUUCUUCUUCUUCUUCUUCUUCUUCUUCUUCUUCUUCUUCUUCUUCUUCUUCUUCUUCUUCUUCUUCUUCUUCUUCUUCUUCUUCUUCUUCUUCUCAGCGACUCCCAGCAGCCGUGGAACCGUCGGUGGAACGGAGGCCGAGCCGUGCCUCAGUGACCCUCCCUGGUGUUUUAGAGACAAC